UAUCUUAGCCACCAGUUGGGUUCCUGA
rnacentral:piRNA from 1 species